GGGAAGGUGGCUCAGUAGUAGAGCGCUUGCCUUGCAUGCAAGAGGCCUUGGGUUUGAUUCCUCAGCAUCGCA
rnacentral:tRNA from 1 species